AACGAACGCUGGCGGCAUGCCUAACACAUGCCAGUCGAACGAGACCUUCGGGUCUGGUGGCGCACGGGUGCGUAACGCGUGGGAACCUGCCCUUAGGUUCGGAAUAACUCCCCGAAAGGGGUGCUAAUACCGGAUAAUGUCUUCGGACCAAAGAUUUAUCGCCUUUGGAUGGGCCCGCGUUGGAUUAGCUAGUUGGUAGGGUAAAAGCCUACCAAGGCGACGAUCCAUAGCUGGUCUGAGAGGAUGAUCAGCCACACUGGGACUGAGACACGGCCCAGACUCCUACGGGAGGCAGCAGUGGGGAAUAUUGGACAAUGGGCGAAAGCCUGAUCCAGCAAUGCCGCGUGAGUGAUGAAGGCCUUAGGGUUGUAAAGCUCUUUUACCCGGGAUGAUAAUGACAGUACCGGGAGAAUAAGCUCCGGCUAACUCCGC
rnacentral:rRNA from 1 species